rnacentral:rRNA from 1 species
CCCUACUGCUAUCGGGGUGGGACUAAGACAUGCUAGUCGAGCGCCUUGAGCUAUGGCGAGGCGCGGCGUACAGCUCAGUAACACGUGGCUAACCUACCCUUAGGACGGAGACAACCCCGGGAAACUGGGGCUAAUAUCUGAUAAGUGAGGAGGCCUGGAAUGGUUCUUCGCUGAAAAGGCGUUGAAACCAUGCUUUUCAGCGUCGCCUAAGGAUGGGGCCGCGCCCGAUCAGGUUGUUGGUGGGGUAACGGCUCACCAAGCCUAUAACCGGUACGGGCCGUGAGAGCGGGAGCCCGGAGAUGGGCACUGAGACAAGGGCCCAGGCCCUACGGGGCGCAGCAGUCGCGAAAACUCCGCAAUGCGCGAAAGCGUGACGGGGCUACCCCGAGUGCCAUCCGCUGAGGAUGGCUUUUCCCCGGUGUAAUGAGCCGGGGGAAUAAGGAGAGGGCAAGUCUGGCGUCAGCCGCCGCGGUAAUACCAGCUCUCCGAGUGGUAGGGACGAUUAUUGGGCUUAAAGCGUCCGUAGCCGGCUUAGCAAGUCUCCUGUUAAAUUCAGCGACCUAAUCGUUGAGCCGCGGGAGAUACUACUAGGCUAGGAGGCGAGAGAGGCCGACGGUAUUCUCGGGGUAGGGGUGAAAUCCUAUAAUCCCGGGAGGACCACCAGUGGCGAAGGCUGUCGGCUAGAACGCGCUCGACGGUGAGGGACGAAAGCUGGGGGAGCGAACCGGAUUAGAUACCCGGGUAGUCCCAGCUGUAAACGAUGCGGGCUAGGUGUUGGGGUGGCUACGAGCCACUUCAGUGCCGCAGGGAAGCCAUUAAGCCCGCCGCCUGGGGAGUACGGCCGCAAGGCUGAAACUUAAAGGAAUUGGCGGGGGAGCACCACAAGGCGUGAAGCUUGCGGUUC